rnacentral:rRNA from 1 species
AGAGUUUGAUCCUGGCUCAGAACGAACGCUGGCGGCGCGCCUAAUACAUGCAAGUCGAGCGAGAAGACGUAGCAAUACGUUUGUAAAGCGGCGAACGGGUGAGGAAUACAUGGGUAACCUACCCUCGAGUGGGGAAUAACUAGCCGAAAGGUUAGCUAAUACCGCGUACGCUUCUUGGACUUCGGUUCAGGGAGGAAAGCGAUACCGUGGGUAUCGCGCUCUUGGAUGGGCUCAUGUCCUAUCAGCUUGUUGGUGAGGUAACGGCUCACCAAGGCUUCGACGGGUAGCUGGUCUGAGAGGACGAUCAGCCACACUGGCACUGCGACACGGGCCAGACUCCUACGGGAGGCAGCAGUAAGGAAUAUUGCGCAAUGGGCGAAAGCCUGACGCAGCGACGCCGCGUGGGGGAUGAAGGUCUUCGGAUUGUAAACCCCUUUCGGGAGGGAAGAUGGGAUGGGGUAACCCAUUCGGACGGUACCUCCAGAAGCAGCCACGGCUAACUUCGUGCCAGCAGCCGCGGUAAUACGAAGGUGGCAAGCGUUGUUCGGAUUUAC